UCCCUGGUGGUCCAGUGGCUGACACUCCGCACUCCCAAUGCAGGAGGCCCGGGUUCGAUCCCUGGUCAGGGAA
rnacentral:tRNA from 1 species